UACGAAGGGGGCUAGCGUUGCUCGGAAUCACUGGGCGUAAAGCGCACGUAGGCGGCUUUCUAAGUCAGGGGUGAAAUCCUGGAGCUCAACUCCAGAACUGCCUUUGAUACUGGAAAGCUUGAGUUCGGGAGAGGUGAGUGGAACUGCGAGUGUAGAGGUGAAAUUCGUAGAUAUUCGCAAGAACACCAGUGGCGAAGGCGGCUCACUGGCCCGAUACUGACGCUGAGGUGCGAAAGCGUGGGGAGCAAACGGG
rnacentral:rRNA from 1 species